rnacentral:rRNA from 1 species
GACGAACGCUGGCGGCGUGCUUAACACAUGCAAGUCGAACGAUGGAGCCGGAGCUUGCUCUGGUGAAUUAGUGGCGAACGGGUGAGUAACACGUGAGUAGCCUGCCCUUGACUCUGGGAUAACUGCGGGAAACUGUAGCUAAUACCGGAUACGACCCUCGGAGGCAUCUCCUGGGGGUGGAAAGAAUUUCGGUCAAGGAUGGACUCGCGGCCUAUCAGCUAGUUGGUGAGGUAAAGGCUCACCAAGGCGACGACGGGUAGCCGGCCUGAGAGGGUGACCGGCCACACUGGGACUGAGACACGGCCCAGACUCCUACGGGAGGCAGCAGUGGGGAAUAUUGCACAAUGGGCGCAAGCCUGAUGUAGCAACGCCGCGUGAGGGAUGACGGCCUUCGGGUUGUAAACCUCUUUUAGCAGGGAAGAAGCGAAAGUGACGGUACCUGCAGAAAAAGCACCGGCUAACUACGUGCCAGCCGCCGCCGUAA